UAUUUGAGCACCUUGAGGUCAAAUGUUGCUGUCCUUGGAUCUUGAAGUUCUGACUUUUCAAGAUCUUCAGAUUCGUGGCUUCGAGCUGUCAUUACUUGAGAUGGAGGAAUCU